AAGUAAAUGAUUACGUGACUCGGUUUGGCUUAGAUCCUAUUUUAUUACUCAAAUCGGAAAGCCAAGGUUUUAAUGAUUUUAAAUGAAUUCGGCGAAAUGAGUUAUGCUAGUCUCCCCUAAAGACUUGGGACUCUGUCGAGAAACUUUGUUAUAAAAUCCCAUUGUGGGAUGGGUGAUUUUGAAUGUUCCCAAAAUGAAUCUUUAACUUUCCAUGGUUUUGGAAGUUUUGGAAAGAGUAUGCCGAGAGUGGCUUUGUUUUAAAAAGGGAACUCACUUUG
rnacentral:lncRNA from 1 species